AUUGGCUAUCCUACCACGUUAAAGACACCGGUGUUCGUCCGCUCACUCAAGUUAGGCAACGUUUGCUCCGGUUAUUACUUACAUGGGUGAUCGGCUUAGAAUACUGGUUGUUGCCGGCU
rnacentral:rRNA from 1 species